GUGUGUGUGUGUGUGUAUGUGCUUGUGUGUGUGUGUGUCGCUGAGGCAGCACAAAUGAAAGACCAAGAACACACAUACUUAAGCCCCAGUUUUGAGAUGAAAAAGGACCAAAUGGCUUCAAUUCAUAGUAAAGAAAAUACACUAUGCCUCCUGGCCAAAACAGUCCUCAUGCUGUUCAGUGACAAAGUAAUUUGCCUCACAAACAAUGAGAUCAAAUGAGAAAAAAAAUAAGAAAGGCAUCAUGUUUGCAGAGGCCAAACCGUCCUUAACACUGUGAGCUUUCAUGUGGUCUUAGAUCGUAACUACAUUAGGAUGCUCUCCUGGUAUGCGGUGCGGUCCCUACAGCAUUGGUCUUAAAGUUUCUGAAGCCCUAUCCAGUUCCAUAGUAACCAUCUGCAUCUACAGUCCAGUUUUUUCAUUAAUCCAGCUAUCCAUUUUUAACACCACAAUUUCGUUGCAAUACAUUAAUAGUAUAAUGAUAUGACCCCUAAUUCGAAUGGUGUAUGUAUGUAUGAGAGGUGCAUGUCUCCUCUGAAAGUACUACUCUUAUUUUGGACAUUAAUCUCAGUAACUUCAACUUUAAAACUGUACAUAAGGGGUGUAAACAGGACUGUUUGUGCAGUCAGAACAUUAUGUAAAUUCGUCUUAUGGUAAUCUUGCUAGGAGAAGUCGCUUACCGUAUGCUACGCAAACUACAGCCAAUGGAGAGUUUGGUAAUCAACUGGUACGGACUUCCUUCUCCCAAGGUGGUGACGACUGGAAUAAUAGUAAGUUUGUCUCUCUCUUGAUGGAUGGUUCUCUAUGCUGAGGCAUAGCUUGAGAGAUGGAGGAAUUCCCUCUGAAACUGCAUAUGGUCUACACCAGAUGAUGGCUCCGCAUGGCAAACCAAUAGGCAACAGUAUCAAUAACACAUGGGAUAUGUUAUUAAUUACUUAUGUUUAUGAAAGUAGAAAUGACUGAUGCUAUACUGCCUGGUCUUUUAUGAGGAAUGACAA